CCAGCUCCAAUAGCGUAUAUUAAAGUUGUUGCAAGUUAAAAAGCUCGUAGUUGAAGUUCUGAUUGUUCGGGCCUCGCGCUUUAUAGCCGAGGAACCGACAGUCAUCCGCUUGCAAAUAUAUGUUCGCCUUUAACCGGGGUGGCUAUAUGAGUAAGCAAUUUACCUUGAGAAAAACAGAGUGUUCCAGGCAGGUUUGUCCGGAAUGCAUUAGCAUGGAAUAAUAGAAUAUGACUGAAGUCGAUUUAUUGGUUUAAGGCUUUAGUAAUGAUUAAUAGGAACAGUCGGGGGCAUUGGUACUUGACAGUCAGAGGUGAAAUUCUAGGAUUUGUCAAAGACUAACAAAUGCGAAAGCUAUUUGCCAAGGAUGUUUUCAUUAAUCAAGAACGAAAGUUAGGGGAUCAAAGACGAUCAGAUACCGUCCUAGUCUUAACUAUAAACUAUACCGACUCGGAUUCAGAUGAAUCAAAAAGUUCAUUUGGGACCGUAGGAGAAAUCAAAGUUUUUGGGUUCUGGGGG
rnacentral:rRNA from 1 species